rnacentral:rRNA from 1 species
GGGGAUCGCAAGACCUUGCGCUUUUGGAGCGGCCGAUGUCUGAUUAGCUAGUUGGUGAGGUAAAGGCUUACCAAGGCGUCGAUCAGUAGCUGGUCUGAGAGGACGACCAGCCACACUGGGACUGAGACACGGCCCAGACUCCUACGGGAGGCAGCAGUGGGGAAUUUUGGACAAUGGGGGAAACCCUGAUCCAGCCAUGCCGCGUGAGUGAAGAAGGCCUUCGGGUUGUAAAGCUCUUUCAGCCGGAACGAAACGGUCACAGCUAAUACCUGUGACUACUGACGGUACCGGAAGAAGAAGCACCGGCUAACUACGUGCCAGCAGCCGCGGUAAUACGUAGGGUGCGAGCGUUAAUCGGAAUUACUGGGCGUAAAGCGUGCGCAGGCGGUUUUGU